GGGUUAGAAUGUCUUCGGCGAUUAAUCAAGUCCAAUUCCUUCCACUCCCUGAGGGCUUGACAGGAUGAACAACAGUCUCCCCACAUAGAAACUUUGUACGCCGCAACAACUCCCGCCAAGAAGAUGGACCCCAAUUCCCCCAAGAAGCUUGAACCAAGAGCGUUAGAGAAGAGGGAUAGGAUCGGAGAAUCCCAAAUCUCUCUUGAAGAGGAGAAACUUCAAAAGUCCCGCUACAUGCAAGUAGAAGAAUAGUAUGGUAAUUGCCAGUGCAAGAUCCGAUACUUUUCCCACCUUGGAUUCAAGCCACAUGAGGCCUUUCAACAUGGACAUUUCUAGGAUACUACGAGAAAGGAUGGCCAUAUGAGGAUAUUUCUUAGAAAAGGAAAAGGGUUUAGAUAGAGUUUUGGGUUUCACUUUGUAGAAGAUGAAACCAACUAACCCGAUGUAGAUAAAAGAGUGAGUGAGAAGCACACCCUCCAUGAUGGAAUGGUGUGGGACUAUUUCCCACACUUUAGAGA